CCAGCGCGUGCCCGCCCGGCGCCCUCUAGGGUGGAAGGCUGCGGGCGUCCUACCAGUGCCAGGACUGCCAGAGCGGGAGGAGCGCGGCGCGGGCCAGCCGGGACUGCUGGACAGCGGGGUCCAGGCUAGAGGCGAGCGAGCGGUCAGUGACGGCUGUGGAGGAGGGAGGCGCUGGGCGUCAGCGCGGGACCCGAGCCUCUGGACCACUGAGCUGGGGGGCUGGCUGAGGUCCACCUCCUAACAAAUUAUUGGAAGGAAUAUGAGAAAAAUGGAGUUUCACUCUUGUCACCCAGGCUGGAGUGCAAUAGAGCGAUCAUGGCUCACUGCAACCUCUGCCCCCCGGGUUCAAGCGAUUCUCCUGCCUCAGCCUCUCAAGUAGCUGGGAUUACAAGUGCCCACCACCACGCCCAGCUAAUUUUUGUAUUUUUAGUAAAGAUGGGGUUUCACCACAUUGGCCAGGCUGGUCUCUAACUCCUGACCUCACGUGAUUCAUCCAUCUCAGCCUCCCAAAGUGCUGGGAUUACAGGCAUGAGCCACUGUGCCUGGCCUAUACUUAUAUUUUCUUCUGUGAUUUUAAUAUUUUAGUGUUUAUGUUUUGGUCUAUGAUCCAUUUUGAGUAAAUUUUUAUAUUUGGUAUAAGGUAGGGGUCCAACUUUAUUUAUUUUUGAGAUGGAGGCUUACUCUAUUGCCCAGGCAGGCAUGCAAUGGUGCGAUCCAGCUCACUGCAACCUCUGUGUCCCAGGCUCAAGUGAUUCUCCCACCUCAGCCAUCUGAGUAGCUCGGAUUACAGGCCCCAUCACUAUGGUAAUUUUUAAAUUUUUAGUAGAGACGGGGUUUCACCAUGUUGGCCAGGCUGGUCUCGAACUCAUGACCUCAAGUGAUCUGCCCGCCUCUGCCCUACAAAGUGCUGGGAUUACAGGCGUGAGCCACCGUGCCUGGCCUCCAGCUUUAUUCUUUUUUUUUUUUUUUUUUUGAGACAGAGUCUUGUUCUGUCACCCAGGCUGGAGUGCUGGAGUGCAGUGGCGCGAUCUCGGCUCACUGCAAGCUCCGCCUCCUGGGUUCACGCCAUUCUCCUGCCUCAGCCUCCCGAGUAGCUGGGACUACAGGCGCCUGCCACCACGCCUGGCUAAUUUUUUGUAUUUUUAGUAGAGAUGGGGUUUCUCCAUGUUAGCCAGGAUGGUCUCGAUCUCCUGACCUCGUGGUCUGCCUGCCUCGGCCUCCCAAAAGUGCUGGGAUUACAGGCGUGAGCGACCAUGCCCGGCCAACUUUAUUCUUUUAGAUGUGGAUGUCUAGUUGUUCCAGAAGUAUCUGUUAAAAAUGUUACUCUUUCUCCAUUGGAUUAUUUUGGCAACCUUAUAAACAAUCAAUUGACCAUAAA
rnacentral:lncRNA from 1 species